UACGUAGGGUGCGAGCGUUUAAUCGGAAUUACUGGGCGUAAAGCGUGCGCAGGCGGUGAGCUGUGUCCGAUGUGAAAGCCCCGGGCUUAACCUGGGAAUGGCAUUGGAAACUGGCUCGCUGGAGUGUGGCAGAGGGGGGUGGAAUUCCGCGUGUAGCAGUGAAAUGCGUAGAGAUGCGGAGGAACACCGAUGGCGAAGGCAGCAUUCUGGGCUUGACCUGACGCGAGGCGACGAAAGCCAGGGGUAGCGAACGGG
rnacentral:rRNA from 1 species